UACGGGGGGAGCAAGCGUUGUUCGGAUUUACUGGGCGUAAAGAGCGUGUAGGCGGCCGUACAGGUCAGCUGUGAAAACUCGAGGCUCAACCUCGAGACGUCGGUUGAAACCGUACGGCUAGAGUCCGGAAGAGGAGAGUGGAAUUCCCGGUGUAGCGGUGAAAUGCGCAGAUAUCGGGAAGAACACCCGUGGCGAAGGCGGCUCUCUGGGACGGUACUGACGCUGAGACGCGAAAGCGUGGGGAGCGAACAGG
rnacentral:rRNA from 1 species